rnacentral:lncRNA from 1 species
CAAGAUAAACACAUAUUACACCAAAAUGAAAAUAUGUUUAUAAACAUGCACAUACAUUGAAAGCAAGUUGACAAACAAAUUAACCUAGAGGAAGCAUAGUUUUGACCAUCUUAACAAUCAUUUAGAACACACAAGUCACAAAAAUAUAAGGCCUAUUGGUUACUAUGAGAGACUUCAGAUGGUCCAGAACACACAAGUUUGUAUCUACAUGCACAAAGUGCAAGCUCCAAAACACUCGAAACACCAAAUGAUCUACAAGACAAUAAGGUCCAUGAUUACAGGUUGGUUGGUCCACAAACGCUA